rnacentral:rRNA from 1 species
UGGGGAAUCUUCCGCAAUGGACGAAAGUCUGACGGAGCAACGCCGCGUGAGUGAAGAAGGCCUUCGGGUCGUAAAGCUCUGUUGUCAGGGAAGAAAGGUACUUUUGUGAAUAAUGGGAGUAAAUGACGGUACCUGACGAGGAAGCCACGGCUAACUACGUGCCAGCAGCCGCGGUAAUACGUAGGGGGCAAGCGUUAUCCGGAUUUACUGGGUGUAAAGGGAGCGCAGGCGGUUUGUCAAGUCAGAGGUGAAAUCCCACGGCCCAACCGUGGAACUGCCUUUGAAACUGGCAGACUUGAGUGUCGGAGAGGGUGGCGGAAUUCCAGGUGUAGGAGUGAAAUCCGUAGAUAUCUGGAGGAACACCGGUGGCGAAGGCGGCCACCUGGACGAUAACUGACGCUGAGGUGCGAAAGCGUGGGGAGCAAACA